UAUUGGGCAAUGGGCGGGAGCCUGACCCAGCCAUGCCGCGUGCAGGAAGACGGCCCUAUGGGUUGUAAACUGCUUUUGUUUGGGACUAACAGCUGGGUCGUGACCCGGCCUGCAGGUACCGAAUGAAUAAGCAUCGGCUAACUCCGUGCCAGCAGCCGCGGUAAUACGGAGGAUGCGAGCGUUAUCCGGAUUUAUUGGGUUUAAAGGGUGCGUAGGCUGGUAAUUAAGUCAGUGGUGAAAUACUCCGGCUCAACCGGGGGGCUGCCGUUGAUACUGGUUACCUUGAGUUUAGAUGAUGUGGGCGGAAUGUGUCAUGUAGCGGUGAAAUGCAUAGAGAUGACACAGAACACCGAUAGCGAAGGCAGCUCACAAAGCUAUUACUGACGCUGAUGCACGAAAGCGUGGGGAUCAAACAGG
rnacentral:rRNA from 1 species